AGCAGCCGCGGUAAUUCCAGCUCCAAUAGCGUAUAUUAAAGUUGUUGCAGUUAAAAAGCUCGUAGUUGAAUUUCGGGAUCAAUAUUUCGGUCAUGCCGUUGGUAUGCACUGUUAUCAUUGAUUUCUCACCUUCUAAAGAACCGCAAUGCCAUUAAUUUGGUGUUACGGGGAAUUAGGACUGUUACCUUGAAAAAUUAGAGUGUUUAAAGCAGGCUCACGCUUGAAUACAUUAGCAUGGAAUAAUGAAAUAGGACAUCCGAUUCUAUUUUGUUGGUUUCUAGGAUCGAUGUAAUGAUUAAUAGGGAUAGUUGGGGGCAUUAGUACUCAAUUGUCAGAGGUGAAAUUCUUGGAUUUAUUGAAGACUAACUACUGCGAAAGCAUUUGCCAAGGAUGUUUUCAUUAAUCAAGAACGAAAGUUAGGGGAUCGAAGACGAUCAGAUACCGUCGUAGUCUUAACCAUAAACUAUGCCGACUAGGGAUCGGAUGAUGUUAAUUUUUAAUGACUCUA
rnacentral:rRNA from 1 species